GACGAACGCUGGCGGCGUGCUUAACACAUGCAAGUCGAACGGAAAGGCCCUGCUUUCGUGGGCUUCUCGAGUGGCGAACGGGUGAGUAACACGUGAGUAACCUGCCCUUGAUUUUCGGAUAACUUCAGGUAACUAGGGCUAAUCUCGGAUAGCAGCUCCUGCAGCGUUGUGAGCGUUGGAAAGUUUCGGCCGUGGGAGAUGGACUCGCGGCUGAUCAGCUUGUUGGUGGGGUAGUGGCUUACCAAGGCAUUGACGGGUACCCUGCCUGAGAGGGUGACCGGCGCCAUUGGGACUACGGUACGGCGCAGACGCGUACGGGAGGCAGCAGUGGGGAAUAUUGCACAAUGAGCGGAAGCGUGUGACAACGACGCCGCGUGCGGGAAGACGGCCUUCGGGGUGUAAAACGCUUUAGCCUGUGACGAAGCGUGAGUGACGGUAAUCAGUCAAGAAGCACCGGCUAACUACGUG
rnacentral:rRNA from 1 species